UACGAAGGGGGCUAGCGUUGCUCGGAAUCACUGGGCGUAAAGAGUGUGUAGGCGGUGCUCUAAGUUCGGUGUGAAAUCUCCUGGCUCAACUGGGAGGGUGCGCCGGAAACUGGAGUGCUUGAGCGUGGGAGAGGAAAGCGGAAUUCCUGGUGUAGCGGUGAAAUGCGUAGAUAUCAGGAGGAACACCUGUGGUGUAGACGGCUUUCUGGACCAUAGCUGACGCUGAGACACGAAAGCGUGGGGAGCAAACAGG
rnacentral:rRNA from 1 species